AUGAGCAGAUCAGAUCGCUGGCUAGCUCCAUCAGACCAUCACCUUAACGCACCAACCAUGGCCAUGCAGCAACUCGUGUACUGGUUCUGCGCCUUCCUGGCCCUCCUCCUCCUCCUCAAGCUUCUUAGGAAGCGUGGCGCCACGACGACGGCGCCGGCGCUGAAGCUGCCGCCAAGCCCGUCGUCGCUGCCCUUCAUCCACAACCUGCACCACCUCCUCCGCAGCCCGAUCGCGCACCGUGCCGUGGCCGACAUCGCGCGCGAGCUGGACGCGCCGCUCAUGUACCUCCGGCUCGGGGAGCUCCCGGCCGUGUUCGUCUCGUCCGCGGACGCCGCCCGCGAGAUCAUGAAGGUGCACGACAUGAAGUUCGCCUGGCGGCCGUAUCCACCCACCAUACAGAAGCUGCGCCCCAUGGGGAAGGGGAUCUUCUUCGCGCCGUACGGCGCCCUGUGGCGGCAGCUCCGCAAGAUCUCCAUCGUGAAGCUGCUCAGCGUCCGGCGCGUCCACUCGUUCCACCGCGUGCGGGAGGAGGAGGCCGGCCGCCUCGUAGCCGCCAUCGCCGCCACGCCGCCGGGAGAAACCGUCAACCUCUGCGAGCAGAUCUUUUGGGUCAUCGCGGACUCGACGAUGCGCACCAUGAUCGGCGAGAGGUUCGAGAGGAGGGACGAGUUCCUGGUGGUGUUGGCGGACAUCGUCAAGAUCGCAUCGGGUUUCACCAUGGCCGAAUGGUUCCCGUCAUCGUGGCUCGUGCGCGCCUUCGGUGGCACGAGGCGGCGCGGCCACAGGGGCUACCUCACGACCUACGAGCUGGUGGAGAACGCCUACCGGCAGCGACAGAAGCGAAAGGAGGCCAUGGCUGCACCGUCGACCAGGAACGCCGUGACGGGAGAGGAGGAGGACCUGAUGGACGAGCUCGUGAGGAUACACGAGGAAGGUGACCUCGAGGUGCCUCUCACCAUCGGCAACAUCAAGGCUGUCACGAUAGAUCUCUUUGGCGCCGGGACGGAGACAUCAUCAGAUGCACUCCAAUGGGCGAUGUCAGAGCUGAUGAGGAACCCGAGAGUGAUGCAGAAAGCACAGGCCGAGCUGCGCGACAAACUCGGCGGGAAGCCUACCGUGACCGAGGCCGACCUGGCCGACAUGACCUACCUGAAGCUCGUCGUCAAGGAGACCCUGAGGCUGCACCCGGCGCUGCCAUUGCUCGUCCCAAGGGAGUGCAACGAGACGUGCAAGAUCAUGGGGUACGACGUGCCCAAAGGCUUCGUCGUGUUCGUGAAUGCAUGGGCGAUCGGCAGGGACCCCAAGUUCUGGGACGACCCGGAGGAGUUCAAACCGGAGCGGUUCGAGAACUCCAAGGUCGACCUCAAGGGGACGGAUUUCGAGUUCAUACCGUUUGGGGCUGGGCGCAGGCUCUGCCCUGGCUUGGCGUUCGGGCUGGCCAGCAUUGAGAUCGUGCUGGCCGUGCUGCUCUACCACUUCGACUGGGAGCUCCCGGACGGGGUGGCCCCGAGCGAGCUGGACAUGACUGAGGAGAUGGGCAUCACCAUCCGAAGGAAGAAUGAUCUGUACCUGCGUCCAACUGUUCGUAUAAAGGUGUAG
rnacentral:rRNA from 1 species